rnacentral:lncRNA from 1 species
AUAUGUAUUCAUUUCCUACCACAGUAGUGGAAGAGAGACUAUCACUGUCUUUAACAUUUCCAACAGUAAGCCAUGAGAUUCUGCUUGAAAUCACCUCUCAAACAAAUAAAAAACAGAACUGGGAAAGAUACUAUGCUCAUUCUGUUAAAGAAAUAGGCAUCAUAGCUGGGAAACAGGGAUUCAAAAGACCCAGGCUGUUCCCUACAUAUGUUUCCUCCUCCGACAUCAGUUCAUCAGUCAACCAAGUCAAGUGAGAGUGGAGGCCAUGUAUUCCCUCUUAUUCUUGGGCACUCUCCUCCAAGGAGGAAAAGGCCAGGAGGUCCUGUUAGAGGAUGCACUCUGAGAGCCCGGGCUCCCUAAGGUGUGAGAGUUCUAAACAGCAGGUGUAGACUUUCAGGAGUGAGGAAUGAGGCAGGCAUUCCAAACCUGAAGCUUCAUCACCUUUUGUUUCAUCUCAAGACAAUUCUGAAGGGCUGUUUUGGAGCGUGUCUGGAAGGUGAACGUUGAAGAAGAGUGUGGGCUUUGAUGUGACUCAGAUGAGAUCUUUCAUGGGGAGGCAGGAAUUCAAUGCCCAGAAUCUGGGCUGGUGUCUUUGAGGUCAGUAGGUUGCGUCUUUGUAUCCAAGUCCGUUGUUACUAGGUUGGAGGCUGGAGAUUCUAAAUGGCUUCCAGACCGCCUCUCUGAUUCUCUUUGGGAGAUGGGGUCUGAAAAAGA